rnacentral:pre_miRNA from 1 species
CGGCCUUCUAGAUGGACUAGGUGCUCGAUGUUCGUUAAGGUCGUUCUUUCCAACCCAGACAAGGUUCCACCGCCUGCAUUCUUCCAAGAGUGUCUUGGACGAAAGGACGAAAGUAGGAAGUGGAACCUUGUUAGGGUUGGAAAGAACUGCUUUAAGGAAGUCGAUGCUCCAGGUCCAUCUAGGAGGACG